AAAGCGCAGUUCAAAAGCUUGCAGCGGGGAGAGACCGGGCAAAAGCCGCUGGUGGCUGCAGCCCUGUGGCUGUGACAGCGACAUUCGGCGCGUCCCGUUCGCUGUCGUUCGGGCGCUCCGGGCCCCGCCGGUUCCCGCCCGCUCCACGCAGAGCGAAGCGGCGGCAAACACACUCUGCGCCAACUGCGCCCGCCCGCUCAUUCAGAGACGCGCCUUGCGCUUUCCUCCUCCUUACGCUGGCGUAAAGGCCUCCCCCCCUCCGCUCCCUCCCUCCAUCGCCACUAAUCAAAACACUCGCGAGUCGGGACGCAAAGAAGAUGGCGGAGCAGGGCCCGCUUACGGCGCCGGACAGCAGUUUACGCUGCGCUCUUUGCGCAGGGCCCCGUCGGAACCGUGCAGCGCCGCGGUGGGGAGCUCAAGCAUGGUGCUCUUUCUGCAUGGACCGAGUGUCAAAGAGGAAUGAAGUUCUGCGUACAGCAAAAUAUGGGGCUUCUCCUGUGCAGAAUUUGUAUCACAGACCUGUCCGUAGGUCUGGAGUUGCUCAGGAUAAAUGAGAUAACUGCGUGCCCUGUGAUGCUGAUCUGCUGUGGAAGUUCCUCCUCAUGUUUGGUUUGGCCAACUUUAAAAGGACACAACGCUGAGCAGGAACAAGGCAUCCCCCUUGGAAAGAAGAAUCCCAAAUUCUCCAAGUGGACAAAGCCACAGUCCUCCACCCAUCCAGAGCUCCCUGCGUCGGUACGGACUGGAGUCUGCAAAGCCCUUCAUCGAACACCUAUAGUGCUCCAAAUACCUCAUCGCUUCCAUAUUAUUUUGAUAUCCAGAGAUGAGCUACUUUUUCUCACCUUAGAGCUCUCACAGAAGUUGUCAGGGCAAUCUGCCUUCAGAAUAAACUGGAACUGCUAGCAGACAAGACUUGACCAUGUUACCAGUUGGAACACAAUGCCAACUGUAUAUAGUAUUCCAUCUUUUGAUUAAAAACAAACAAACAACAAGAAAGAAAACAAAGAAAAAAGGAAAAAACAAACAAAACUUGACCAAAUAGAUUUAGUUUCUGAAUUGCUGUUCAUUUUUAGUUAGCUACUGCAUUUGAUAUUUAUAUGGUCUUAUGCAGCAAAUACAACCACUGUUCGUGAUAAACACAUGAUUUACAAAAUGAAGAAUAAAGAACUGUGUCAGCUAGAGAGAGAGAGAGAAGGAAGGUGAAGCAAGUGCAGUAACACACUACAGGAGAAAAGAA